rnacentral:rRNA from 1 species
CCUACGGGAGGCAGCAGUGGGGAAUAUUGGGCAAUGGGCGAAAGCCUGACCCAGCAACGCAGCGUGAAGGAUGAAGGCUUUCGGGUUGUAAACUUCUUUUGAUAGGGAAGUGCAGCAGACGGUACCUGUCGUAUAAGCCACGGCUAAAUACGUGCCAGCAGCCGCGGUAAUACGUAGGUGGCAAGCGUUGUCCGGAUUUACUGGGUGUAAAGGGCGUGUAGCCGGGCUGACAAGUCAGAUGUGAAAGCCGGGGGCUCAACCCCCGAACUGCAUUUGAAACUGUUGGUCUUGAGUAUCGGAGAGGCAGGCGGAAUUCGUAGUGUAGCGGUGAAAUGCGUAGAUAUUAGGAGGAACACCAGUGGCGAAGGCAGCCUGCUGGACUACAACUGACGGUGAGGCGCGAAAGCGUGGGGAGCAAACAGGAUUAGAUACCCCAGUAGUC